CCUACGGGAGGCAGCAGUGGGGAAUAUUGCGCAAUGGGCGAAAGCCUGACGCAGCGACGCCGCGUGAGGGAUGAAGGUCUUCGGAUCGUAAACCUCUGUCAGCAGGGAAGAACGGUCACUGUGCUAAUCAGCAGUGAAUUGACGGUACCUGUAAAGGAAGCACCGGCUAACUCCGUGCCAGCAGCCGCGGUAAUACGGAGGGUGCGAGCGUUAAUCGGAAUUACUGGGCGUAAAGCGCUCGUAGGCGGUAUGUCAAGUCAAGGGUGAAAUCCCCGCGCUCAACGUGGGAACUGCCUUUGAUACUGGCAAACUGGAGUGUAGGUGAGGAUAGUGGAAUUCCAGGUGUAGGAGUGAAAUGCGUAGAUAUCUGGAGGAACAUCAGUGGCGAAGGCGACUAUCUGGCACAUAACUGACGCUGAGGAGCGAAAGCGUGGGUAGCAAACAGGAUUAGAUACCCCGGUAGUC
rnacentral:rRNA from 1 species